UACGGGGGGGGCAAGCGUUGUUCGGAAUUACUGGGCGUAAAGGGCUCGUAGGCGGCCAACUAAGUCAGACGUGAAAUCCCUCGGCUUAACCGGGGAACUGCAUCUGAUACUGGAUGGCUUGAGUUCGGGAGAGGGAUGCGGAAUUCCAGGUGUAGCGGUGAAAUGCGUAGAUAUCAGGAGGAACACCGGUGGUGUAGACGGCUCUCUGGACCGUAACUGACGCUGAGGCACGAAAGCGUGGGUAGCAAACAGG
rnacentral:rRNA from 1 species